rnacentral:lncRNA from 1 species
UUUCAAAUUUACUCUAUUAAUGAUGUAUCAAGUGAGAACUUGAUUUGGGUGUAAGUCUGAAAACUUGCCUCCUGAGCCAUUGAAUCUACAACGAACGGCAUCCAGGUAGAGGUAAACAAUGUUCAAGAGGGUUUCUGGUCUGUUGCCCAUCACAAUCACUAGAUGGAGCCACAGCAGUAGAUGCAGGAGUUUCCAGGUAGAAGAAGGAUAAUAACAGAAAGACCCAUUGCCUGAUCCUUUCAGACGCAUUACCCUAGAUACACUAUUACUAGUCCCAUUACUCCCCCAUUCCCUAGUUGAUCGAGUCGUCCCCUCGCAGGCGCUUGUUAGGUUUCUGGCUCCCCUCAGGGUCCACCACCUCCUUGCAUUGACUAGCGGCUGAAGGAGGGGCUGGGACGCUAGCAUCGUCCAUGAUCGACCUCACCGCGAAGCUCCCGUUCACGUACUUGUCGAAAACCUGGAAGGUGUGCGUCGAGCCAAUAAGAUCAUCGAUUUCGUCGGGCAGGGCGUACCACUCGUCGUCUUCCUCGAUGUUACCGACGAGCUCCUCUGCAGAGACACCGACCAGCUCCUCCGCCACCUCGCAGAAGAUCAUCAGGUCCAUUGUGCCCGUGGCAUCUUCCACCUUCGCCUUCAGCUUGUACCUAGCGUGCCCACAAGGCCAGAACAACGGCAUGGUAAUCAGUAACUUAUGAAUGAGCAACAAGUAUAAAUCGAGAACCACAUAGUGUUGCAGGCCCCUACCACUGAACUGGCCUCUUGAUCGGGCCACAUCGCGCGCACUUGUAUUUCCUUGGGGCCCCGUACAUGGACUUCUGGCAGGUGUCGCAUCCAAGGUAGCACCAGCCAUUGCUGCAAUCUAUGUCUAUCAGAGAGACUCUGCACAAAAACGUGGUAUCCUGCAAGUAAACACAGAGAUAUGUGAGAACAACGGAUUGGCUUUGCACACGCAAACGAGAAGAGGAACAAACUUAAUUCACCUCGUCAUACUCUUCUGGAUCAAGGUUUUUUAGCUGUUCGAUUGUUCGCCAACUCUCGGCUAACUUCUGCGCUGGAGUUUUUUUGGGGACAGGGUUUGCUUUCUGAAUGCGCAGACUGCAUGCACUCGAACCAGUUAGCCAUGUACUAGUACAGCUUAGAUCAAUCAUCAACGUAGGUAUAAACUUAUGAAGUCCACUCACUUUGCACGGAAUUCUUGCACCUCUGGCAUUUCCAAAUCCAGAUAGUACUCUGAAGACGUUGUAGAGCAAACUAUAACACAAAAAGAUCACAAAUGACACCAAAAGGUUUCAGUAUACACUAUGGUUGAAUCGAAUGAUAGACAGACUGAAGUUUUACAAGAAAAUAAAGGAAUAUAAAACAACAGUAAAUGAUAGAGUGGAUCAAGGAUUAACCCGAUGAUGAGGAAUCAACAGACAUCCCUGCAAAGACAGCAACAACUGAGGCGUCUUUGCCUUUCUCGGCCAUAUCUUCAGCAAAACCAGAAGCAAUAUCACCAUACAGUGUGACACCAAGUACCUUUCCUCUGUAAAUGAUAACUCCAGCAGUGAGGAGCUAUCAGGGGACGUCAAUCAUCCAAAAGAAAUAAGUGUAUUCCAUUACCUCAAGUCCCGAAUGCUUGCAUUGCAAAUUUCUAUAACGCGGGAUCUUUUUGUGACCUCAUGUAGCCCCCCGACACCUACUACGUGUCCCAGAAUAUCUGCGUAAUGUAUAUCCACACAUGUAAGGAAAAGAAUAAGAUAACUCUGACCAAACUUUCUGUGCUAAAAGAAUCUACCUGUCAAUAAGCUGUUGUCGCCACACCUAGAACGGAGAUCCUUGAAAUUAACAAACUCAAAGCUGUAGAGGGGAAUCGAAUCAAUCUCCUAUCUCAGUGACCACCGUCUGCCUUCUAAUGUACAUAGUCCACUCAUUGCUACAUGACAUAUAGUAGUCCCUCUGCACAUCAACAUGAAAAUCUGACAAGGCAUAGACCUUCCCUUCAACUAGCCUGUGCUCAAACCGCUCUAUAUCGCCGGGUUCUACACGCGCCUGCAUAGUUUUACCCUACGAGUGGAAUACAACUAGAAGAAUCAGUGCAUUGAGAAAAAGGAUGGUAAUUAAACAUUAGUAGCCAGCAAGCAAUGUGAUUCAGCUGUUUGGUGUUUGACUUAAGGUACGGAAUGCAGCACCUGAUCGUCGAUCAGAAGGCAGUCAAGGCCGAACAAAGUGUCAUUUUUUGGAUUGAAGGACUCCCACAGCCGCGAGAUGCGCACCCGAACUUUACAUUUGUCCAUUCCAUAUUUUAACUGAGACAGUGGGGUGAACACGUCCUCAGCUGAACCCAUUUUGGCCUGGAAGGCUUGAAGCUGCAAAAUAGCAUAGAAAAAAAAGGAAAUAGUGAUUAAUAUUGUACUGUUGUACUCCCUCCGUUCCAAAAUAAGUGUCACUGAUUUAGUACAAAGUGUACUAAAUCAACAACACUUAUUUUGGGAAGGAGGGAGUACAUUUUAAGCUUAGGAGUCCAGUAAUAAAUUUUACCAGUACUCUAAAAGGCUGAAAUUAACCUUCCCAGCAUAAUUUUUUGCUUACUAAACAGGAGUAUUAACUGGUUUAAAUUCUGAGUUGUGUGUGUAUGUUGUGAUGAAAAGGCAUCAGGUGUGUUGCCUGUAAAGCUAUUUUGGGAUGAAAUUUCUUGCAUUUUUCGUGUUGGUCAGAAUACUAGAUGUGAGUUUCAAUAAUGCUGCUACUUUGUGGUAUACAUGGAAAAUUAUAGUAACACGAUUUGCCAUCAAAAGGUGUGACGUCAGCAACCAGAAUAUGAUGCCCCCCAAAAAAGGAUUUUAACAAAUANNNNNNNNNNNNNNNNNNNNNNNNNNNNNNNNNNNNNNNNNNNNNNNNNNNNNNNNNNNNNNNNNNNNNNNNNNNNNNNNNNNNNNNNNNNNNNNNNNNNNNNNNNNNNNNNNNNNNNNNNNNNNNNNNNNNNNNNNNNNNNNNNNNNNNNNNNNNNNNNNNNNNNNNNNNNNNNNNNNNNNNNNNNNNNNNNNNNNNNNNNNNNNNNNNNNNNNNNNNNNNNNNNNNNNNNNNNNNNNNNNNNNNNNNNNNCAACCACUAGGAGCACAGAUCGACUUGACCACGAGUUGUGAUGGAAAACAAAAAAAAAUCCGAAUAAAUGCCGAGAUUAUUCAAGAACUGAGGCCAAGUCAGAUCGCAAACUCAACAGCGCAGUAGAACCUCGCAGCUAUUCAAGGAGGCUACUACAGGAGUGAGGAUCGUUGGAGAAGAAUCGCUCGUGUAGACAUACCGGAGAAAAUCGAUCGCGACAACACAAGAAUCGAGACGAAAACUGUAAUGCGAGUGGUACACAAAAAGGAGGCUGCUCUGCUCUUUUCCCCCGCUUUGACUUGGGAGGAUGGAUGAGGAAGACCUGGGUUUACCUCCGGAACCGAAGUCGCAGAUGCAACUGGUUUUCUCCUCCCCGUCGCCGAGAAGAACGAAGCUUGCUGGAGAAGGAGAAAGGAGGAGGAAGAGGGGUCAGGUCUCGGGCUUGGACGGAGUGGCGGAAGCCUGGGCCGGUGUCCUUGUCGCAAAAGCCUACGAGUUUCUGUCAGGCCCAUUGAUGGGAUAAGACUGCUCAGUCCCCGUCUAUCUUGUCUCAAAAAAAAAAGUCCCCGUCUAUCAUUGUCUAAAAAAAAAGUCCCCGUCUAUCUAAUUUUUUCACAAACCCCUCAAAAAAAAACUAAAUUUCUCACAAACCCCUAAAAAAAUCUAAUUUCUCACAAUACUGUAACAUAUAUUUUUCACCCCCAAAAUAUAGACCACAGGACAAGUAGCCUAUACAACUUUUGCUAGGGCUCCUUUGGUUCCAAGAAAACGUGAAGAAAAGGGUAGGAAUAAGCAACUUUUAUAUGGUUGUAUUAUUAAUGCCCUCGGUUCAAAGGAAUGGGGGCAAAGAAAACAAAACUAUUGAUCUCAAUUUCAAAGGAAAAACAUAGAAAUUCUAAUACCCACUUGAAUUUCCUUUUCAGAUUCAUAUGCGCGAAGAACGAGAUUAAGAUCCCGGCCUCGCCUCGUCCUCGCAAAACCACACCACAUGCACCACGUUUAGUAGGUUGCAUUAGGUUCAGCCAGGUUCGCGUUGUGUAAAUUUUUUUGUUUGGUUGCCUUGUCUACAUCUAUUUUUUGGCUCGUAUGAUGUUAAAACAUAGCUCAGGCAGAGCCGCUAAAAAAUGUCGAAUCAACUAUUUCUAGCAAGCCAGACUCGAGCAAUGCAGGAGAGCACAAGCAGUGGGUCUCACGAUGCAACAUGGUGCAGGACUGGGACAUAGGGUCAGUGGGGUUUGCGCAUGUUCCUGUUUUGCUCAACUCCAUAAUCUCUUCCGCAUAAUUCUUUCUAUUCCACACAACAACACUUUGGCUUGGGAUAAGCUCUACAUGAAAAAGAUGCAAAUCGAUGUUAUGGUUCUAUUCACGUGAUCGGUUCAUAGUUUCAUUAACUAUAAAUGUUCAAUUUCAUGUUCAUGUUCGAAGUUAUUUUGGAUAAAAUUUGUCAAAUCGUCACACGGAUCAUUUGAAUUUUCUUUGACCAAUAAUUUCAUCUUCCUGUUUCACACGGCAUUCGUGUUGUACAUUUUUUUGUUUCAAUGGUCGUAGACAUGUAGAUCUUUAUCGCUCUAGUGCCCUAAUGGAAUGUACAAAUGCAUAUGUGCGAUUUGUUUUACUCACAUUUCUUAACCUCCUUCACCUAGUCCCCUCUAAUCUACGGUGGUCGGUACGAGAUAAAUUCUACACCAAAAAGAUGCACAUCACUGUUUAUGAAUACCUUGAAACUUCAGUGUAGCCCGAACUUUGUCCAAACCUGAGAAGUAUAAAAUGGAAAUUCUUUUCUAUUCUCAUGUUCAAUAGCAGCAGUUCAGAACAUGACCUCAAGCAGCUAGGUGUGGUCAAAACUUCGCUGGCUUUGCCCUGUCCACCUACGUAAGCUUCAUUAUAGUUCACUUCAUUUCAAAUUUACUCUAUUGGCGAUGUGUCCAGUGAAAACUUGAUUUGGGUGAAAACCUGAAAACUUGCCUCUGGUAACCAUCGAUUCUACAACGAACAACAUCUGGUCACCAAAAUGGGCCAAGCCCAUUCUCCAUCAACCAUGAUAACAAGGGAAACAAUGUUCAAAAGGAUUAAACGGGUUCUGGUAUGUUACCCAGCACUAACACUAGAUCCAGUGACUCACAGCAGUAGUUGCAGUUGUUCCCAGGUAGGAGAAGAACAGAAAGCUCCAUUGGCUGAUCCUUUCGGACGCAUUACCCUAGAUACACUAUAACCCUAGAUCUAGGUUGAUCAAGUCGUCGUCGCCUCGCAGCCGCUUGUUAGGCUUCUGGCUUCCCUCAGGGUCAGCUUUCUCCUCCUUGCAUUGACUAGCGGCUGCAGCAGGGGCUGGGACGCUAGCAUCGUCCAUGAUCGACCUCACCGAGAAGCUCCCGUCCAUGUACUUGUCGAAAACCUCGAAGGUGUGCGUCGAGCCAAUAAGAUCCUCGAUUUCGUCUGGCAGGCUGUACCACUCAUCAUCGUCCUCGAUCUUAUUCACGAGCUCCUCCGCGGAGACACCGACCAGCUCCUCCGCCACCUCACAGAAGAUCAUCAGGUUCAUUGCGCCGGUAGCAUCCUGCACCUUCGCCUUCAGCUUGUACCUAGCAUGCCCACAAGGCCAGAACAUAAGUGUGGUAAUCAGUGACUCAUGAAAG